rnacentral:misc_RNA from 1 species
UUUCCGUAGGUGAACCUGCGGAAGGACCAUUACAGAGUGAGGGAGCACUGGGUCCCAACUCCCUCUCGUGUUCUUUUAACCUUGUAGCUUCGGUUAGCCCGCCUCAUGGCCGCCGGUGGGCUUUUGCUACGGGGCCCGUAAUCGCCUAAGACCCCCCUGGAUUCUGCCUGAAGUCUGAAGUUUAUGCGAAAUCAAUAUUAGUUAAAAUUUUCAACAACGGAUCUCGUGUCUCUUGCAUCGAUCAACAACGCAGCCGAACGGAAGAGCUCACGUCUGACC